GUCGAACGAUGAACCACUUCGGUGGGGAUUAGUGGCGAACGGGUGAGUAACACGUGGGCAAUCUGCCCUGCACUCUGGGACAAGCCCUGGAAACGGGGUCUAAUACCGGAUACUGAUUGUCUUGGGCAUCCUUGAUGAUCGAAAGCUCCGGCGGUGCAGGAUGAGCCCGCGGCCUAUCAGCUUGUUGGUGAGGUAACGGCUCACCAAGGCGACGACGGGUAGCCGGCCUGAGAGGGCGACCGGCCACACUGGGACUGAGACACGGCCCAGACUCCUACGGGAGGCAGCAGUGGGGAAUAUUGCACAAUGGGCGCAAGCCUGAUGCAGCGACGCCGCGUGAGGGAUGACGGCCUUCGGGUUGUAAACCUCUUUCAGCAGGGAAGAAGCGAAAGUGACGGUACCUGCAGAAGAAGCGCCGGCUAACUACGUGCCAGCAGCCGCGGUAAUACGUAGGGCGCAAGCGUUGUCCGGAAUUAUUGGGCGUAAAGAGCUCGUAGGCGGCUUGUCGCGUCGGUUGUGAAAGCCCGGGGCUUAACCCCGGGUCUGCAGUCGAUACGGGCAGGCUAGAGUUCGGUAGGGGAGAUCGGAAUUCCUGGUGUAGCGGUGAAAUGCGCAGAUAUCAGG
rnacentral:rRNA from 1 species